AGAAGAAGAUCUAAAGGAUCUACAGAACUUUCUAGAAGAAAAUGGAGUGUGUGUUCGGAAUGGUCGGUAACGGUUUCUCACUGGUGGUAGCGGACUCCUCCGCCGUGCACAGUAUAUUGGUUCACAAAUCUAAUGAAGACAAAAUCAUGAUUCUCGAUUCGCAUAAACUUAUGGGAGCGAGUGGUGAAGCUGGAGACAGAGCCCAGUUUACGGAGUAUGUGCAGAAAAAUGUGGCUUUGUAUCAGUUUCGUAAUGGUAUUCCGUUGACUACAGCUGCUACGGCUAAUUUUACAAGAGGCGAGCUAGCUACAGCUUUGCGUAAGAAUCCAUACAUGGUGAACAUUAUCCUGGCUGGAUAUGACAAGGAGACAGGCCCUUCUCUAUAUUACAUUGAUUAUAUUGCUACUCUGCACAAGGUGGAUAAAGCAGCGUUUGGUUAUGGCUCCUAUUUCUCUCUUGCCAUGAUGGAUAGGCACUACCGAAAGGACAUGACAGUUGAAGAAGCUGUUGAUUUGGCAGAUAAGUGCAUCAUGGAGAUCCGAUCUAGGCUGGUUGUUGCCCCACCAAACUUUGUGAUUAAAAUUGUCGACAAGGAGGGAGCCAGGGAAUAUGCUUGGCGCGAGUCUGUCAAAGAUGCUCCCGUUUCCAACAUCUGAAGCUCUGUUUUUGUGUUAUGUUUACUCUUGAAGCUUAUGAAUCUUAUGUUCUGGGAAAAAAACUUUAGUCAUUGUAACUGCCCAAAAAUCUGACGCUACAAGUAUUCACUGUUUGAUCGAUACACCCGCUGUGUUCAAGAUUUUAGUUUUAAUUAUUUUCGAGUUUCA
rnacentral:misc_RNA from 1 species